rnacentral:misc_RNA from 1 species
AACGCACAUUGCGCCCUUUAGUAUUCUGAAGGGCAUGCCUGUUCGAGCGUCAUUAUCACUAAUCAAGCUUGGCUUGCUGUUGGGCCUCUUGUCGUUAAAAAACCGACAGGCCUUAAAAAUAAUGACGGCGUUACUUGGACCCUAGAUGCAACGAGCUUUCAUUAGCACGCGUUUAGUUGGACCUUUUAACUCAGUCUCUUUUAACCAAUUUUCUAAGGUUGACCUCGGAUCAGGUAGGAAUACCCGCUGAACUUAA